GAUUUCUGGCUUGAAACAUUUUGCCGGCCACGGUUUCGUGUGUUAGUGCUUGGUGUUCUGGCCAUCCUUCCAAUCGCUAUUCAUUCUUCUUCAUUGAGGGGUGAGUGGUAUUGGAUCUUUUACUUUGAAAAAAUUAGAGUGUUUAAAGCAGGCUUUUUGCUAUGAAUACAUUAGCAUGGAAUAAUAAUUUAGGACUUUGCUCCUAUUUUAUUGGUUUCUAGGGGUAAAGUAAUGAUUGAUAGGGAUAGUUGGGGGUGCUCGAAUUCAGCGGCCAGAGGUGAAAUUCUUGGAUUCGCUGAAGACUAACUUAAGCGAAAGCAUU
rnacentral:rRNA from 1 species